AUUGAACGCUGGCGGCAGGCCUAACACAUGCAAGUCGAGCGGAAGGUUCUUCGGAGCCGAGAGCGGCGGACGGGUGAGGAGAGCGUGGGAAUCUGCCUGUAGAUGGGGGAUAGCCCGGAGAAAUCCGGAUUAAUACCGCAUAAUACCUGAGGGUUAAAGUGGAGGAUCGCAAGACUUCACGUCUACAGAUGAGCCCACGUCAGAUUAGCUAGUUGGUAGGGUAAAGGCCUACCAAGGCGACGAUCUGUAGCUGGCCUGAGAGGGUGACCAGGCCACACUGGAACUGAGACACGGUCCAGACUCCUACGGGAGGCAGCAGUGGGGAAUAUUGGACAAUGGGCGCAAGCCUGAUCCAGCCAUGCCGCGUGUGUGAAGAA
rnacentral:rRNA from 1 species